rnacentral:rRNA from 1 species
AGCGAACGCUGGCGGCAGGCUUAACACAUGCAAGUCGAGCGGGCGUAGCAAUACGUCAGCGGCAGACGGGUGAGUAACGCGUGGGAACGUACCUUUUGGUUCGGAACAACACAGGGAAACUUGUGCUAAUACCGGAUAAGCCCUUACGGGGAAAGAUUUAUCGCCGAAAGAUCGGCCCGCGUCUGAUUAGCUAGUUGGUGAGGUAACGGCUCACCAAGGCGACGAUCAGUAGCUGGUCUGAGAGGAUGAUCAGCCACAUUGGGACUGAGACACGGCCUAAACUCCUACGGGAGGCAGCAGUGGGGAAUAUUGGACAAUGGGCGCAAGCCUGAUCCAGCCAUGCCGCGUGAGUGAUGAAGGCCCUAGGGUUGUAAAUUCUUUUGCAGGGGAAGAUAAUGACGGUACCCUGCGAAUAAGCUCCGGCUAACUUCGUGCCAGCAGCCGCGGUAAU